GAUCCUGGCUCAGGAUGAACGCUGGCGGCGUGCUUAACACAUGCAAGUCGAACGAAGCACUUUUGAUUGAUUUCUUCGGAUUGAUUUCUUAAGUGACUGAGUGGCGGACGGGUGAGUAACGCGUGGGUAACCUGCCUCAUACAGGGGGAUAACAGUUAGAAAUGACUGCUAAUACCGCAUAAGCGCACGAUACCGCAUGGUAUUGUGUGAAAAACUCCGGUGGUAUGAGAUGGACCCGCG
rnacentral:rRNA from 1 species